GACGAACGCUGGCGGCGUGCCUAAUACAUGCAAGUAGAACGCACAGUUUAUACCGUAGCUUGCUACACCAUAAACUGUGAGUUGCGAACGGGUGAGUAACGCGUAGGUAACCUGCCUGGUAGCGGGGGAUAAAUCUUGGACACGAUAGCUAAUACCGCAUAAUAUUGAUUAUUGCAUGAUAAUUGAUUGAAAGAUGCUAAUGCAUCACUACCAGAUGGACCUGCGUUGUAUUAGCUAGUAGGUGAGGUUACGGCUCACCUAGGCGACGAUACAUAGCCGACCUGGGGGGGGGAACGGCCACACUGGGACUGGGACACGGCCCAGAAUCCUACGGGGGGCAGCAGGAGGGAAUCUUCGGCAAUGGACGAAAGUCUGACCGAGCAACGCCGCGGGAGGGAAGAAGGUUUUCGGAUCGUAAAGAUCUGUUGUAAGGGAAGAACGGGUGUGGGAGUGGAAAGUGCACACUGUGACGGUACCUUACCAGAAAGGGACGGCUAACUACGUG
rnacentral:rRNA from 1 species